CAUUCUAGAUAGUAGUAGAUACCGUAUACGCAGUGUAGUGUAUGAAUGUAUAAUGUCAUACGGUCUCCCAUACGGCCUAACCAGUGCGUGGUCUUGCGUCUAGCUGUUAGAGUUUGGCGUUUAAUCCAAACUUUACGUGCAACCACGUCCAAAGUAUAUAACCUGGCGGUAGGCAGCAGAGAGCCACUCAUACCUUGGGUGAGAGUGACGUGAGGGACUCGUGUAGGUACGGAGGACCUAGACAGUUGGACUUAUAUGGUAUCGAGGACCUUCCUAGCCACCCUCGUCGUUGUUACCGUUGUCGAAGACCAUCGUACUGGAC
rnacentral:rRNA from 1 species